UGGGCUAGGUCAUUUUGAAAAUGGUUAGAAAUAUUAAUUUUUUGAUUCAGAAGGUGCUAUGAUAGAAAACUUGAUUUAGCUUUCCCAGUAGUAAAGGCAUUUUUAUCAACAAAGGAAAGUUGAAUGCCAUUGAUUCUUUGGCUAAUCUAGAUGUAGCCAUACAAUUUCCACUAGUAGAUUCUCCUAUUAUAGAUAGUGCAAGGGAAUACUGUGGAUAUCUUAAGUUUAGGGUAAAUUGAUUGAUAAUUAUUUAGUUGGGCACAUGCUUGGAAUGU
rnacentral:lncRNA from 1 species